rnacentral:rRNA from 1 species
CAGCCGCCACGGGAAUACGUAGGUGGCAAGCGUUGUCCGGAAUUAUUGGGCGUAAAGGGCUCGCAGGCGGUUUCUUAAGUCUGAUGUGAAAGCCCCCGGCUCAACCGGGGAGGGUCAUUGGAAACUGGGAAACUUGAGUGCAGAAGAGGAGAGUGGAAUCCCACGUGUAGCGGUGAAAUGCGUAGAGAUGUGGAGGAACACCAGUGGCGAAGGCGACUCUCUGGUCUGUAACUGACGCUGAGGAGCGAAAGCGUGGGGAGCGAACAGGAUUAGAUACCCGCGUAGUCCCUGUCUCUUAUAC